rnacentral:rRNA from 1 species
UACGAAGGGGGCUAGCGUUGUUCGGAUUUACUGGGCGUAAAGCGCGUGUAGGCGGGUCGUUAAGUUGGGGGUGAAAUCCCGAGGCUCAACCUCGGAACUGCCUUCAAAACUGGCGACCUGGAGCAAAGAAGAGGCGAGUGGAAUUGCGAGUGUAGAGGUGAAAUUCGUAGAUAUUGGGAAGAACACCGAUGGCGAAGGCAGCCAUCUGGACCGGCACUGACGCUGAGGCGCGAAAGCGUGGGGAGCAAACAGG